CAUUACUGAGUUUACGCUCUAUAACCCUUUGUGAACAUACCUAUAACUGUUGCUUCGGCGGGUAGGGUCUCCGUGACCCUCCCGGCCUCCCGCCCCCGGGCGGGUCGGCGCCCGCCGGAGGAUAACCAAACUCUGAUUUAACGACGUUUCUUCUGAGUGGUACAAGCAAAUAAUCAAAACUUUUAACAACGGAUCUCUUGGUUCUGGCAUCGAUGAAGAACGCAGCGAAAUGCGAUAAGUAAUGUGAAUUGCAGAAUUCAGUGAAUCAUCGAAUCUUUGAACGCACAUUGCGCCCGCCAGCAUUCUGGCGGGCAUGCCUGUUCGAGCGUCAUUUCAACCCUCAAGCUCUGCUUGGUGUUGGGGCCCUACAGCUGAUGUAGGCCCUCAAAGGUAGUGGCGGACCCUCCCGGAGCCUCCUUUGCGUAGUAACUUUACGUCUCGCACUGGGAUCCGGAGGGACUCUUGCCGUAAAACCCCCAAUUUUCCAAAGGUGACCUCGGAUCAGGUAGGAAUACCCGCUGAACUUAAGCAUAUCAA
rnacentral:rRNA from 1 species